AAGCAAUCCAAAUUAAUUAUUUUCAGACGCGGGAGUGGAAACCAGAAUUUCAGAGAUGAUGGGGGAAGACCGGGGUGAAGAUGGGGAAGCACUUCUCUGAGUCCAAAUGAAAUCCAAAUAGCUGUUUAGAGAAUGUAAUGGGGUACAAAAAUCUAGUCGUUUAGAGAAUGUAACGGGAAACAAGAAUUGAACGUUGUUAGAAGAGCUGAAAAAAAGCAGGAAAACGCAUAUCCAACGGAAGAGGUGGAACAGUGGAAGGAAAAAAGAAAAAGGCAGAGGUAGAGCAAAAGGAAGCCACAAAAUUCUUGUUUAAGGUAAGUAAGGAAGGAUGGAGGAGUUGUGCUACUUUGCCCUUCCUGCCUCCUCAGCAAUCAAGAGAGGAGGCACAGCAGAGGUUCAUAAUGUCAUAGGGACCUACCCAUUUUGGGUUGAAUGACAUGUUCUGCACAACUACAUUUAGGGUUGUCGAUUCAUUCAGGGUACUUCAGGUGAUAGAUGAUAUUAAAACUGAAGAGGCUGUUGCAAUCGUUAAAAUUGAUGUAAAUGUAAUUUGUAAAUUGAGGCAUUUUACUGGAUAAUCUAAAAUUGAAGAUGCAUUUUUGAAUCAAUUGUUGAAAUUGAUGACAUCAAUAAAUGUAAUAUGUAAAUUGAGACAAUGUUAAAUUGAUUUAUUAUUUAAUGUUAUUAUUUUUAUUUGGGA